rnacentral:tRNA from 1 species
AGUGGUUAAGAGCUCGGCUGCUAACCAAGAGGUUGGUGGUUCUAAUCCACCAGCCACUC